AAUGAAUCCAAACGAUAUGCAAGAGCACAAAAUUGAGUGUUUCAACAAUCUUUUAAAUUACAUUUUGUAUGUAUCUCAAAUAUUUAUGUGAAAAAUUUAUUUAAUAUUCCCUCAAAAUACAGUGCGAAAGCGAAUGAAGAGAGUUUCGGUUUGCUAAUAAGCUCUUAUUGUGAAAGGCCAUCGGAACCACCGACCACGUGUAGAUGAGAUGCGUCUGCUCUUUGACAGAGACAAAGCGUCUAUCUAGCACAUCUCGUAGUCGAUUCAUUGCAGUUUUCUGCGGCUUAAUUAAUAUUAAUCGACGAAACCAUCUUGAGCGGUGUGAUCUCUGUAAAUACGUUCAAAUUAAAAGCCAUAUGAAGGCAUUCCUCUUACGGCUAGGCUCGUUCGAGCUACAAAGCUGUCGCGGCCGGCCUGCUACGUAGGAGGAUGAUUAUACAACGCAUGAUUAAAGUUGAAAGAUCGGUCAAACAACAGCGUUAAACAAUAACAUCCCGGUGAGCAGCACGAGUGUACAAAUUUAUCAGCUAAAAGCUGAUAUUUCAAGUGUUUUUAUACGCAAAGAGGAAAGGAAUAAGCGAAUUGAAGUAUAUGAGUUCAUUUUAGCAAUCGAUAAGCGACGUACGAAGGCCAUGAGCAGCGAGCAGACGAAGGGGAAGGAAAAAUGCGUGAAAUUUAAAGAUGCUAAACCUUCGAUAUCACUUACAAAUGACGAGGGAGAGCAAUUGAAUGGAUUAGAUCGUUCAAAGUAAGUCUC